UACGUAGGUGGCAAGCGUUGUCCGGAUUUACUGGGCGUAAAGGGCGUGCAGGCGGUCUGUUAAGUCUAGGGUGAAAGCUCCCGGCUCAACUGGGAGAGGUCCUUGGAUACUGGCGGACUUGAGGGAGGCAGAGGAAAGUGGAAUUCCCGGUGUAGUGGUGAUAUGCGUAGAUAUCGGGAAGAACACCCGUGGCGAAGGCGGCUCUCUGGGACGGUACUGACGCUGAGACGCGAAAGCGUGGGGAGCGAACAGG
rnacentral:rRNA from 1 species